GAAAUUUGAAUGCCUUUAUUUUCAAGUUACAUGCUUAAAAAAAUAAAUGGUUUCACUGCAUUUCUCUAUUUUUUUUUUCCAUUUUAAUAUGUCUCAUAAAUGUAAUUGUACCCGUAUCACACAUUUUUCAUUUUUUUUAAUUUAUAUUGUUAUUUUUUUAAUAAAAGGUCAUUUAAACUUUUUUUUUUAUAUUUCCUUUCUUGAGUUCUUCAAAAUUCUUUAUAUUCAGUUUUUGUUUGUGUUUAGUUUUUCUUUUCUAAGUUUUUCAUUUCAUUGAUGGUGGCACUAGUAAGCUAAUAACACAAUAAUCACCUAUGAAGCAACUAUCGGUUGUUGUAGGCCAAUUUUGGCCCGUUUACAAAAUACACUGGCCCAUUAAACCAUUUAACCCAUCCUCAAACCCAAAACCUAAAAUUAACCUAGCCCAACAUUCAAGCCCAAUCCCAAAACCCUAAACUCCCACUUGCCUCUUCCCACUUUCCCAUGCUGUCUGCCACCAGCACCACUCCCACUCUCCCAUGCUGUCUGCCACCAGCACCAUCACACACCCCACCGUCCAAGCCCAUGCCCUGAAAACAAGCAAAACAGAAGCAAGAAUAGAAAAUAAUAAUAAAGUAUGUAAAAAUUAGGCCAUAUAAAAGCCAUCCAAACAACAAACGAAAAAGGAGGAGGAUGUACAAAAAGUUUGUAUCAAAAACAAAAGAAAAAAGAAAAGCUUAGAAGGUGAACUUCAAUUUUUUUCCUCUAUUAUCUCAAUCUUUCUGUUUAUCUUUACUUUGUUUUAUUUUUUUUCAUUAACUUACUUUAAAACGAAAAAGAAUCAAGGAAGAAAAGAGUCUUACCGGAUCUACCCCGUGGCCGCUCCCCUCUCCGUUCGGCACGGUGAACCGCCAGCGAUGAUGGGUGUUGAAACCUUAACUGAAGAAAGGAGGAAGAGAUAAAAAGGGGGGUUUGAGAGCAGUUUUUCAGAAAAAAAAUAUAUAAAAGUUAAAUGGUUUUAAA
rnacentral:lncRNA from 1 species